CCUACGGGAGGCAGCAGUGGGGAAUAUUGCACAAUGGGGGAAACCCUGAUGCAGCAACGCCGCGUGAAGGAAGACGGUUUUCGGAUUGUAAACUUCUAUCAAUAGGGAAGAAAGAAAUGACGGUACCUGAUUAAGAAGCCCCGGCUAACUACGUGCCAGCAGCCGCGGUAAUACGUAGGGGGCAAGCGUUAUCCGGAUUUACAGGGUGUAAAGGGAGCGUAGACGGCAGCACAAGUCUGGAGUGAAAUGCCGGGGCUUAACCCCGGAACUGCUUUGGAAACUGUGCAGCUAGAGUGCAGGAGAGGUAAGUGGAAUUCCUAGUGUAGCGGUGAAAUGCGUAGAUAUUAGGAGGAACACCAGUGGCGAAGGCGGCUUACUGGACUGUAACUGACGUUGAGGCUCGAAAGCGUGGGGAGCAAACAGGAUUAGAUACCCUUGUAGUC
rnacentral:rRNA from 1 species